AUUGAACGCUGGCGGCAGGCCUAACACAUGCAAGUCGAGCGGAUGAAGGGAGCUUGCUCCUGGAUUCAGCGGCGGACGGGUGAGUAAUGCCUAGGAAUCUGCCUGGUGGUGGGGGAUAACGUCCGGAAACGGGCGCUAAUACCGCAUACGCCCUGAGGGAGAAAGUGGGGGAUCUUCGGACCUCACGCUAUCAGAUGAGCCUAGGUCGGAUUAGCUAGUUGGUGGGGUAAAGGCCUACCAAGGCGACGAUCCGUAACUGGUCUGAGAGGAUGAUCAGUCACACUGGAACUGAGACACGGUCCAGACUCCUACGGGAGGCAGCAGUGGGGAAUAUUGGACAACGGGCGAAAGCCCGAUCCAGCCAUGCCGCGUGUGUGAAGAAGGUCUUCGGAUUGUAAAGCACUUUAAGUUGGGAGGAAGGGCAGUAAGUUAAUACCUUGCUGUUUUGACGUUACCAACAGAAUAAGCACCGGCUAACUUCGUG
rnacentral:rRNA from 1 species